rnacentral:rRNA from 1 species
UAAUACUGGAUAGGCAAUUAUUCCUGUAAUGGUUUUUUUGUUUAAAUGUUUUUUCGCCUAAGGAUGGGUCUGCGGCCGAUUAGGUAGUUGGUUUGGUAAUGGCUUACCAAGCCUUUGAUCGGUACGGGUUGUGAGAGCAAGAGCCCGGAGAUGGAACCUGAGACAAGGUUCCAGGCCCUACGGGGUGCAGCAGGCGCGAAACCUCCGCAAUGUGAGAAAUCGCGACGGGGGGAUCCCAAGUGCCAUUCUUAACGGGAUGGCUUUUCUUUAGUGUAAAAAGCUUUUGGAAUAAGAGCUGGGCAAGACCGGUGCCAGCCGCCGCGGUAACACCGGCAGCUCUAGUGGUAGCAAUUUUUAUUGGGCCUAAAGCGUCCGUAGCCGGUUUAAUAAGUCUCUGGUGAAAUCCUGUAGCUUAACUGUGGGAAUUGCUGGAGAUACUAUUGGACUUGAGACUGGGAGAGGUUAGAGGUACUCCCAGGGUAGAGGUGAAAUUCUGUAAUCCUGGGAGGACCGCCUGUUGCGAAGGCGUCUAACUGGAACGGUUCUGACGGUGAGGGACGAAAGUUAGGGGCGCGAACCGGAUUAGAUACCCGGGUAGUCCUAGCUGUAACGAUGCGGACUUGGUGUUG